rnacentral:lncRNA from 1 species
UAUUAAUCCACAAUGAAAUUUUUGUUAUCGGUAAUUUAAAGUUUUUGCUAUAAAAUAUACAAAUGAUAAAAAAACAUAUGAGCAAAAAGUAUCAUUUAAUAGAUAUUAAUAUUAAAAAUACACUAUAUACGUUAUUUAAAUUUAAUUAUAUAUCGUAUCAAAUAGAAAAAAAAUUGUUUGGAUUCAUAAAAUUUAUAUGUUCGCACCGAUUUAGUUACUGAAUUUUUAGUUAUUCAAUAUAUAUUUAUUAUUUCAUAAUAUGUAAAAAAAUAUAAUAUCUAAAAUAAUUGAUAUCUAAUGUUCAUCCCGCGCAAGGCGCGGAUCUUGACCUAGUUAAUCUAUUAAAGAAAACUCACUCAAAAACCUUAAGCUCUCACACAAUCA